AAUGGACGCAAGUCUGACGGAGCGACGCCGCGUGCGGGAUGAAGGCCUUCGGGUUGUAAACCGCUGUCAGUUGGGAGGAAUGCAUAGGGGUUAUCCUCUAUGUUUGACCGAUCUUCAGAGGAAGGACGGGCUAAGUUCGUGCCAGCAGCCGCGGUAACACGAACCGUCCAAACGUUAUUCGGAAUAACUGGGCUUAAAGGGUUCGUAGGCGGCUAUGAAGGUGGGGUGUGAAAUCCCUCGGCUCAACCGAGGAACUGCGCUCCAAACCACGUAGCUUGAGGGAGACAGAGGUAAGCGGAACUGAUGGUGGAGCGGUGAAAUGCGUUGAUAUCAUCAGGAACACCAGUGGCGAAGGCGGCUUACUGGGUCUCUUCUGACGCUGAGGAACGAAAGCUAGGGGAGCGAACGGGAUU
rnacentral:rRNA from 1 species